GUGCUUACUUCGGCAGCACAUGUACUAAAAUUGGAACGAUACAGAGAAGAUUAGCGUGGCCGCUGCACAAGGAUGACGUGCAAAUUUGUGAAGCGUUCCAUAUUUUG
rnacentral:snRNA from 1 species